CAUGUACUCCCUCCGUUCCGAAUUACUUGUCGCAGGUAUGGAUGUAUCUAGAUGUAUUUUAGUUCUAGAUACAUCCAUUUCUGCGACGAGUAAUUUGGAACGGAGGGAGUAAUAA
rnacentral:pre_miRNA from 1 species